GAUUUCUGACGAAACUGCUAGCUGGCCCGCCGAGCAAUCGUGUGAGUGCCGGCUUGGCGUUUGUCAUCCGUUCGAAUGAUAUGUGCGCUGCCCUUCACUGGGUUGGUGCUACAUGUUUUCGAUCUUUUACUUUGAAAAAAUUAGAGUGUUUCAAGCAGGCAUGUUUUGCUAUGAAUACAUUAGCAUGGAAUAAUAAUCUAGGACUUUCGGUUCUAUUUUGUUGGUGUUCUGGAGCUGAAGUAAUGAUUGAUAGGGAUAGUUGGGGGUGCUAGUAUUCAAUGGCCAGAGGUGAAAUUCUCGGAUUCCUUGAAGACUAACUUAUGCGAAAGCAUU
rnacentral:rRNA from 1 species